UCUGCCAUUGUUUUACGUUCAUGAGUCUUACCUCCUCAUCUGGAAUGUAAGUUUCUUGGAGUUUGUGUUUCUAUAGCACUUAGAUUCAUGCUGAAUGGAGUUCACUAGGCACUUCCAGGUAUAGCUGCUAGGUUGCAUCCUUGUCCCACUUGCUGAGAUAGGACACUUAUGUUUGCCGCUUACUGGGGCCUCAGCUCGUACUAAGCCAGGAUACUAAGAUGGAGUGCCCUGGUAAAAUGAAGAAAAGGGACAGACUCUUUUAAUCUAACACACCUGAGUCUUGCUAGAAAAAGCAGCCAGCUUUAGCAUGUGUUGUUACCGGUCCAGUGUAACUAACAAUCUCCCACCCGUAAAACUUAGUGACUUAAAACAACAUUUUAAGUCAACCAUUUAUUAGCUCAUGAAUCUGCCUUCUGGGAUGGGCUCAGGUGGGUGAUUUUGCUGCACAUUAUUGCCUGGUGCAGUCCGAUGGGAGCCCAUCUUGGGAGGGAAAAGAUGGCCUCUCUCAUGUGGGAAGCAGGGUGUAUUGGCCAUCAGCAGGAGUCUCUCCGCUCUCCAUGGAACCCCUUCUUUUUUUUGUAGGCCAGACUGCUUCUUAACAUCAUGGCAGCUGGGUUCCAAGAGGCCUUUAUUGCCAAGGCAUAGGAGUUAUUCAAUGUCAGUUCUGCAUUGUGUUGGCUAAACAAGUCACAGGACCUAGCAGGACUCAGCAGAAGGAUGUGGACCCCAUCUCUUGAUGUGGAUGGGAGGGACUGUUGUGGCAGUUUUAGAAGCAAACCACCUCAUCAAGAAAGGCAUGUCUUUUAGAAAUGUCACUGUGAAAUAGUCCAAGAGGGCCCAUUUUCCUGUAUGUGACACUCUACCUCCACCAUCCCCCCAGCUCAUCAGACCAGCUCAUCUCCUCCAGUGCCAUGGCCUUAACACAGGUGGAACUAAUGGACAACCUGAGCCAGAAGCUCAUGGUUUGGGCUGGAAUUGGUGGAAAGAUGGGAUACAGGUUAAACAAGUGUCUUGAUGGAUUUUACGAAUUUCACGCUAACAUGAAAAAAAAAUAAAACUAGACCAACAACCAUUCACAAGGAUAAACUUAAAAUGGAUAAAAGACUUAAAUAAUAUAACAAAGCGACAGAAAUUUAUAUUAUUGGCAACCUCAUUUUUAGCAAUUUAUUUACGAAGAGGCACAGUACCAAAAAUGUUAUAUGAGUUAUGCUACUGGCAACAGUUGGAUGAAAUCUAGAUAUGUUUUUAAACUGGAAUCAAUAGUAGAGCAGAUGAAGAAGAGGAUCAAAUCAGUAA